AACGAACGCUGGCGGCGCGUCUUAAGCAUGCAAGUCGGACGGCAAGGCGGGAGCUUGCUCCUGCCCUAGAGUGGCGGACUGGUGAGUAACACGUGGGUGACAUACCCUCUGGUUGGGGACAACAUUCCGAAAGGAGUGCUAAUACCGAAUGUGACGAUUUUACCGCAUGGUUUAAUCGUGAAAGAUGGCCUCUACAUGUAAGCUAUCGCCAAAGGAUGGGCCUGCGUCUGAUUAGCUAGUUGGUGGGGUAACGGCUCACCAAGGCGACGAUCAGUAGGGGUUCUGAGAGGAAGGUCCCCCACAUUGGAACUGAGACACGGUCCAAACUCCUACGGGAGGCAGCAGUGAGGAAUAUUGGGCAAUGGGGGCAACCCUGACCCAGCAACGCCGCGUGAAGGAAGAAGGCUUUCGGGUUGUAAACUUCUUUGACGAGGGACGAAUAAAUGACGGUACCUCGAAAACAAGCCACGGCUAACUACGUG
rnacentral:rRNA from 1 species